GUGAUCAAUUAUUACUUAACAUACACAUGCAAGUAUCCGCCCCCCUGUGAAAACGCCCUUUAACCCCUCCAAGGAACAAGGAGCCGGUAUCAGGCACAAAAAUUUGCCCAAAACACCUAGCUAUGCCACACCCACAAGGGAAUUCAGCAGUGAUUAACAUUACUUAUAAGCGAAAGCUUGAUUUAGUUAAAGUAAAACUAGAGCCGGCUAAUCUGGUGCCAGCCGCCGCGGUUACACCACGUGGCUCAUAUUGACCCUCCUCGGCGUAAAGCGUGAUUAAAGUUUUCUUCAUAUUAGAAUUGAACUAAAACUAAGCCGUGACACGCUUGUUAAUUGAGAAAACCAAAUACGAAAGUUAAUCUAAUUUAAACAACUUGAAUUCACGAUAGCUAAGAAACAAACUGGGAUUAGAUACCCCACUAUGCUUAGCCAUAAACCUUUAUUUACACCUACAUCGCCAGGGAACUACGAGCCAAGCUUAAAACCCAAAGGACUUGACGGUACCCCACAUCCACCUAGAGGAGCCUGUCCUAUAAUCGACAAUCCACGCUUAACCUCACCAUCCCUAGUUUCCAGCCUGUAUACCUCCGUCGUCAGCUUACCACGUGAGCGCCUAUUAGUGAGCUUAAUGUUUUUACACCAGCACGUCAGGUCAAGGUGCAGCAAAUGAGAUGGGAAGAGAUGGGCUACACUCUCUACUUUAGAGAAUACGAAAAACUAUUCAUGAAAUCUAGUUAGAAGGCGGAUUUAGCAGUAAAAAGGAAUCAACAUAUCCAUUUUAAUCUGGCACUGGGGUGUGUACACACCGCCCGUCACCCUCUUCAAGGCUUUAAUUAUAGUCUCUAACAAUUUUAAAUUCUACAGAAGAGGCAAGUCGUAACACGGUAAGCAUACCGGAAGGUG
rnacentral:ncRNA from 1 species